rnacentral:misc_RNA from 1 species
GGCCCUUCUCGAUAACAGCUUUACUGAGAAUAAGUUCCAAAAUUUACAAAUUAUGAGUUUUAGGACAUAAAACCCAACACAAUGCUUAGAUUAUAAAAUCAAGAAAGCUUUAGAAUAGCUCAACAUAAUUCGUGCAUGAUCCCUAGUGGAAUGAUAUCUUUGACCGUUUUAAUAUAACUUGACCUGUGCCCUUGCUAUAAAACCAAGUAUUGGCAUAUCACCAAUCCCAAUAGUCAUGUUGAGAGCACUUUCUC